UGUGAACUCGAAGAGUAGGGCGGGACACGUGGUAUCCUGUCUGAAUAUGGGGGGACCAUCCUCCAAGGCUAAAUACUCCUGACUGACCGAUAGUGAACCAGUACCGUGAGGGAAAGGCGAAAAGAACCCCGGCGAGGGGAGUGAAAAAGAACCUGAAACCGUGUACGUACAAGCAGUGGGAGCCUCUUUUAUGGGGUGACUGCGUACCUUUUGUAUAAUGGGUCAGCGACUUAUAUUCUGUAGCAAGGUUAACCGUAUAGGGGAGCCGAAGGGAAACCGAGUCUUAACUGGGCGUUAAGUUGCAGGGUAUAGACCCGAAACCCGGUGAUCUAGCCAUGGGCAGGUUGAAGGUUGGGUAACACUAACUGGAGGACCGAACCGACUAAUGUUGAAAAAUUAGCGGAUGACUUGUGGCUGGGGGUGAAAGGCCAAUCAAACCGGGAGAUAGCUGGUUCUCCCCGAAAGCUAUUUAGGUAGCGCCUCGUGAACUCAUCUUCGGGGGUAGAGCACUGUUUCGGCUAGGGGGCCAUCCCGGCUUACCAACCCGAUGCAAACUACGAAUACCGAAGAAUGUUAUCACGGGAGACACACGGCGGGUGCUAACGUCCGUCGUGAAGAGGGAAACAACCCAGACCGCCAGCUAAGGUCCCAAAGUCAUGGUUAAGUGGGAAACGAUGUGGGAAGGCACAGACAGCCAGGAUGUUGGCUUAGAAGCAGCCAUCAUUUAAAGAAAGCGUAAUAGCUCACUGGUCGAGUCGGCCUGCGCGGAAGAUGUAACGGGGCUAAACCAUGCACCGAAGCUGCGGCAGCGACGCUUAUGCGUUGUUGGGUAGGGGAGCGUUCUGUAAGCCGUUGAAGGUGUCCUGUGAGGGGUGCUGGAGGUAUCAGAAGUGCGAAUGCUGACAUAAGUAACGAUAAAGCGGGUGAAAAGCCCGCUCGCCGGAAGACCAAGGGUUCCUGUCCAACGUUAAUCGGGGCAGGGUGAGUCGACCCCUAAGGCGAGGCCGAAAGGCGUAGUCGAUGGGAAACAGGUUAAUAUUCCUGUACUUGGUGUUACUGCGAAGGGGGGACGGAGAAGGCUAUGUUAGCCGGGCGACGGUUGUCCCGGUUUAAGCAUGUAGGCGGAGGUUCCAGGUAAAUCCGGUUCCUUAUUAACGCUGAGGUGUGAUGACGAGGCACUACGGUGCUGAAGUAACAAAUGCCCUGCUUCCAGGAAAAGCCUCUAAGCAUCAGGUAACAUCAAAUCG
rnacentral:rRNA from 1 species